GGUCUCGAACUCCUGCCCUCAGGGGAUCUGUCCACCUCAGCCUCCCAAAGUGCUGGGAUUACAGGCGUGGGCCGCUGCACCCAGCUACUUGCUUGCUAUUUUAAUAGGGAGGCAAUAUUGCCAGAGCUUGUCUGCAAAGUAGAGUCUUUGUGAAAGAAAAACAAAGGCUUGAUGGACAGGAUUUACUUGUAGGCAGUUUGUUUAUGUGCUCAAAAGCACCCAAAAGACAGUUGUGGAAAGAAACACCUGUUGUAGGGUAAUUGUAUGAAAUUAUAUCUGAAUACACUCUUAUCUGUGCAGUGGAGUAUUUCAGAAAAGAGAAACACCUUUGUAUUCAAAUAAGUAGGUUGAAUGGCUUCAUUUCUAAUGGGUCAUUUGUAAUGAUUAUCAUCCAUUUUUCUCUUGCAUUUAAAAGUUUUUUCUUCAUGUCUUAAACUAUACAAAGAGAAAAGAAACAGAGAUAUGAGAGGAAAUAUGGGAGACAGAAAGAAGGCUUGAUUAGAGGAUUUGAAAACAUAAUGAAAUAGCAGUCUCUAAAUUGGACUCUGGGCUUUGCUCUUGAAAACAACUGUGUACUCAACCCCUCUGCAGCUGAAAAAUUGAAAACAGGAAGUGUUUUUGCUUUAGGGGAAAGAUGUCGUGUCAACACUAAGACAUAAAGUUGGAUGAGCUAGAAAUAACCCAGAUUUUUGUAACUAGAAGAAUUAUCAGAUAUUGGGGGUUCCUAGUGUGAAAAUGAAAUCCCCCUGUUGACUCUCUUUUCCAGGUUUCUAACGUAUAAGAAAACAUGUCCUGUGUUAUUAAUGGUUCAGAUGUAAUGAAGCCAGCCAAAGGCACCAGUACGUUUUGUUUAGCACCAGCCUAGAAUGCAAUCUUGCCAGUGUGGAAUGGAUGGGAUGAGAGAUGGAUGGGCCCAGCCUUAGAAGCAAGAUCUAGGCCUAUAAGUAUACGUCAUCACAAUGGAGAGGGAAGAACCCAGACUUCAGGA